rnacentral:rRNA from 1 species
AAAUUGAAGAGUUUGAUCAUGGCUCAGAUUGAACGCUGGCGGCAGGCCUAACACAUGCAAGUCGAACGGUAGCACAGAGAGCUUGCUCUCGGGUGACGAGUGGCGGACGGGUGAGUAAUGUCUGGGAAACUGCCUGAUGGAGGGGGAUAACUACUGGAAACGGUGGCUAAUACCGCAUAACGUCGCAAGACCAAAGAGGGGGACCUUCGGGCCUCUUGCCAUCAGAUGUGCCCAGAUGGGAUUAGCUAGUUGGUGAGGUAACGGCUCACCAAGGCGACGAUCCCUAGCUGGUCUGAGAGGAUGACCAGCCACACUGGAACUGAGACACGGUCCAGACUCCUACGGGAGGCAGCAGUGGGGAAUAUUGCACAAUGGGCGCAAGCCUGAUGCAGCCAUGCCGCGUGUAUGA